GUGCCAGCCGCUGACGGUAAAUAACGGAAGGGUGCAAGCGUUAAUCGGAAUUACUGGGCGUAAAGCGCACGCAGGCGGUCUGACAAGUCGGAUGUGAAAUCCCCGGGCUCAACCCGGGAACUGCAUUCGAAACUGUCAGGCUGGAGUCUUGUAGAGGGGGGUAGAAUUCCAGGUGUAGCGGUGAAAUGCGUAGAGAUCUGGAGGAAUACCGGUGGCGAAGGCGGCCCCCUGGACAAAGACUGACGCUCAGGUGCGAAAGCGUGGGGAGCAAACAGGAUUAGAUACCCUGGUAGUCCACGCUGUAAACGAUGUCGACUUGGAGGUUGUGCCCUUGAGCGUGGCUUCCGGAGCUAACGCGUUAAAUAGACCGCCUGGGGAGUACGGCCGCAAGGUUAAAACUCAAAUGAAUUGACGGGGGCCCGCACCAAGCGGUGGAGCAUGUGGUUUAAUCGAUGCAACGCGAAGAACCUUACCUACUCUUGACAUCCACGGAACUUAGCAGAGAUGCUUUGGU
rnacentral:rRNA from 1 species